rnacentral:rRNA from 1 species
GUCCACGCCAUAAACGAUGAAUACUAGGUGUUGGAGGAUUUAAACCCUUCGGUACCGCAGCUAACGCGUUAAGUAUUCCGCCUGGGGAGUACGACCGCAAGGUUAAAACUCAAAGGAAUUGACGGGGGCCCGCACAAGCAGCGGAGCGUGUGGUUUAAUUCGAUGCAACGCGAAAAACCUUACCUGGAUUUUGACGUGUCCGUAGUAGUGAAGCGAAAGCGGAACGACCCUUCGGGGACGGAUGCAGGUGCUGCAUGGCUGUCGU